UAAUACAUGAUAACGUACACUGAUGGCAUCUUCGGUGUAUCAAAGCGUUAGCGGUAUAGGAUGGACCCGCGUCUGAUUAGCUAGUUGGUGGGGUAAAAGCCUACCAGGGCCACGAUCAGUAGCCGACCUGAGAGGGUGAUCGGCCACAUUGGAACUGAGACACGGUCCAAACUCCUACGGGAGGCAGCAGUGGGGAAUAUUGCACAAUGGGGGAAACCCUGAUGCAGCAACGCCGCGUGAGUGAUGACGGCCUUCGGGUUGUAAAGCUCUGUCUUCAGGGACGAUAAUGACGGUACCCUGUGAGGAAGCACCGGCUAACUAC
rnacentral:rRNA from 1 species